rnacentral:tRNA from 1 species
GCAGCGAUAGCUUAGGUGGUAGAGCAUCUGCCUGGUAUGCAGGGGAUCACCGGUUCGACUCCGGCUCGCGGCG